GAGGGUGAUCGGCCACACUGGGACUGAGACACGGCCCAGACUCCUACGGGAGGCAGCAGUAGGGAAUCUUCCGCAAUGGACGAAAGUCUGACGGAGCAACGCCGCGUGAGUGAUGAAGGUUUUCGGAUCGUAAAGCUCUGUUGUUAGGGAAGAACAAGUGCGAGAGUAACUGCUCGCACCUUGACGGUACCUAACCAGAAAGCCACGGCUAACUACGUGCCAGCAGCCGCGGUAAUACGUAGGUGGCAAGCGUUGUCCGGAAUUAUUGGGCGUAAAGGGCUCGCAGGCGGUUUCUUAAGUCUGAUGUGAAAGCCCCCGGCUCAACCGGGGAGGGUCAUUGGAAACUGGGAAACUUGAGUGCAGAAGAGGAGAGUGGAAUUCCACGUGUAGCGGUGAAAUGCGUAGAGAUGUGGAGGAACACCAGUGGCGAAGGCGACUCUCUGGUCUGUAACUGACGCUGAGGAGCGAAAGCGUGGGGAGCGAACAGGAUUAGAUACCCUGGUAGUCCACGCCGUAAACGAUGAGUGCUAAGUGUUAGGGGGUUUCCGCCCCUUAGUGCUGCAGCUAACGCAUUAAGCACUCCGCCUGGGGAGUACGGUCGCAAGACUGAAACUCAAAGGAAUUGACGGGGGCCCGCACAAGCGGUGGAGCAUGUGGUUUAAUU
rnacentral:rRNA from 2 species